AAGGAAAAUGAAUACGCUCCAACAGAUCAAAAUAAAGUUCGAAAUGUUGGACGAACCAAAAUAAAGUGGGGCACGAUAAAUCCUCGUUAGUAUUAAAUUGCGGGCUGCUAAAGAAUUGGGCCGACCCGGUAUUCAGGUUUCGUUAACGCGUUUGGUCUCUUCUAUUGUCGUCGUGUCUGAGACUUGGUAGUGGAAGCUGCGUUCAUCCUUCAUCUUUGUUGUUCUAGAUUUUGGAGGUUCUGAAUGCUCCUCGAUUGGAGGUUUGGCGUGGUAAUUGUGGUUGAGUCUGAGAUUGAAGCUAUUUAGAAUAUCCUUAGUUAUUCAUCUGAUUAGAGGCUUGGUUGUCAUUGCUUUGCGGAUUCAUGGACAUACUGCCCCUUGACAAGGGUGCUCUUUGCUCUUAUUGCGACUUUGAUUAUUGCACUCUGUAUGAAUGUUGUUUAUGCUAUUAUCUUCCGGAUACUUGAUAGCUUCUUUGUCAUGUUGGUCUAUCUCUGAU